rnacentral:rRNA from 1 species
UACAGAGGCCCCAAGCAUUACCCGGAAUCACUGGGCGUAAAGGGUGUCUAGGCGGCCGUAUUAGUCGUUCGUUAAAUCCCUGGGCCUAACCCAGGGGCUGCGAGCGAAACGGUACGGCUCGAGGGCGCGAGAGGUGCACGGAACUCAUGGUGGAGGGGUGAAAUCCGUUGAUAUCAUGGGGAACACCAAAGGCGAAGGCAGUGCACUGGUGCGUUCCUGACGCUCACACACGAAAGCCAGGGUAGCGAACGGG